rnacentral:misc_RNA from 1 species
GAUGAAGAACGCAGCGAAAUGCGAUAAGUAAUGUGAAUUGCAGAAUUCAGUGAAUCAUCGAAUCUUUGAACGCACAUUGCGCCCUCUGGUAUUCCGGGGGGCAUGCCUGUUCGAGCGUCAUUAUAACCACUCAAGCUCUCGCGUGGUAUUGGGGUUCGCGGUUCCGCGGCCCCUAAAAUCAGUGGCGGUGCCUGUCGGCUCUACGCGUAGUAAUACUCCUCGCGAUUGAGUCCGGUAGGUCUACUUGCCAGCAACCCCCAAUUUUUACAGGUUGACCUCGGAUCAGGUAGGGAUACCCGCUGAACUUAAGCAUAUCAAUAAGCGGAGGA